GACGAACGCUGGCGGCGUGCUUAACACAUGCAAGUCGAACGAAGUGGCGAACGGGUGAGUAACGCGUAAUAAACCUGCACUUCAGAGGGGGACAACAGUUGGAAACGACUGCUAAUACCGCAUACUGAAGGUGGGGAUUGCGUCUGGUUGGCUCGUUGGCGGGGUAACGGCCCACCAAGGCGAGGAUAAGUAGCCGGUCUGAGAGGAUGAACUGCCACAUUGGGACUUGGGCACGGCCCAGAAUCCUACGGGAGGCAGCAGGGGGGAAUCGUCCGCAAUGGACGAAAGGCUGACGGAGCAAAGCCGCGUGAGGGAUGACGGCCUUCGGGUUGUAAAGCUCUGUUAAUCGGGACGCGGUACCGGAAUAGAAAGCAACGGCUAACUACGUGCCAGCAGCCGCGGUAAUUC
rnacentral:rRNA from 1 species